GACAGAGGGUGCAAACGUUGUUCGGAAUUACUGGGCGUAAAGCGCGUGUAGGCGGCAAGGCAAGUCGGAUGUGAAAGCCCUCAGCUCAACUGAGGAAGUGCGCCCGAAACUGCAGAGCUUGAGUACCGGAGAGGAUGGUGGAAUUCCCCAAGUAGAGGUGAAAUUCGUAGAUAUGGGGAGGAACACCGGUGGCGAAGGCGACCAUCUGGACGGAUACUGACGCUGAGACGCGAAAGCGUGGGUAGCAAACAGG
rnacentral:rRNA from 1 species